AACGAACGCUGGCGGCAUGCCUAACACAUGCAAGUCGAACGAGACCUUCGGGUCUAGUGGCGCACGGGUGCGUAACGCGUGGGAACCUGCCCUUAGGUUCGGAAUAACUCCCCGAAAGGGGUGCUAAUACCGGAUAAUGUCUUCGGACCAAAGAUUUAUCGCCUUUGGAUGGGCCCGCGUUGGAUUAGCUAGUUGGUAGGGUAAAAGCCUACCAAGGCGACGAUCCAUAGCUGGUCUGAGAGGAUGAUCAGCGACACUGGGACUGAGACACGGCCCAGACUCCUACGGGAGGCAGCAGUGGGGAAUAGUGGACAAUGGGCGGAAGCCUGAUCCAGCAAGGCCGCGUGAGUGAUGAAGGCCGUAGGGUUGUAAAGCUCUUUUACCCGGGAUGAUAAUGACAGUACCGGGAGAAUAAGCUCCGGCUAACUCCGUG
rnacentral:rRNA from 1 species